rnacentral:rRNA from 1 species
AGAGUUUGAUCCUGGCUCAGGACGAACGCUGGCGGGUGCUUAACACAUGCAAGUCGAGCGGAAAGGCCCUUCGGGGUACUCGAGCGGCGAACGGGUGAGUAACACGUGAGGAACCUGCCCUGGACUUUGGGAUAACCCUCGGAAACGGGGGCUAAUACCGAAUACGACACUUCACCGCAUGNNGGGGUGUGGAAAGUUUUUCGGUCUGGGAUCUCGCGGCCUAUCAGCUUGUUGGUGGGGUAAUGGCCUACCAAGGCGACGACGGGUAGCCGGCCUGAGAGGGCGACCGGCCACACUGGGACUGAGACACGGCCCAGACUCCUACGGGAGGCAGCAGUGGGGAAUAUUGCACAAUGGGCGGAAGCCUGAUGCAGCGACGCCGCGUGAGGAUGACGGCCUUCGGGUUGUAANNCUCUUUCAGCAGGGACGAAGCGCAAGUGACGGUACCUGCAGAAGAAGCCCGCCAACUACGUGCCAGCAGCCGCGGUAAGACGUAGGCGCGAGCGUUGUCCGGAUUUAUUGGGCGUAAAGAGCUCGUAGGCGGCUUGUCCGUCGACUGUGAAAACCCGCGGCUCAACUGCGGGCCUGCAGCCGAUACGGGCAGGCUAGAGUUCGGUAGGGGAGACUGGAAUUCCUGGUGUAGCGGUGAAAUGCGCAGAUAUCAGGAGGAACACCGGUGGCGAAGGCGGGUCUCUGGGCCGAUACUGACGCUGAGGAGCGAAAGCGUGGGGAGCGAACAGGAUUAGAUACCCUAGUAGUCC